rnacentral:rRNA from 1 species
AACGAACGCUGGCGGCAUGCCUAACACAUGCAAGUCGAACGAGACCUUCGGGUCUAGUGGCGCACGGGUGCGUAACGCGUGGGAACCUGCCCUUAGGGUCGGAAUAACUCCCCGAAAGGGGUGCUAAUACCGGAUAAUGUCUUCGGACCAAAGAUUUAUCGCCUUUGGAUGGGCCCGCGUUGGAUUAGCUAGUUGGUAGGGUAAAAGCCUACCAAGGCGACGAUCCAUAGCUGGUCUGAGAGGCUGAUCAGCCACACUGGGACUGAGACACGGCCCAGAAUCCUCCGGGAGGCAGCAGUGGGGAAUAUUGGAACAUGGGCGAAAGCCUGAUCCACCAAUGCCGCGUGAGUGAUGAAGGCCUUAGGGUUGUAAAGCUCUUUUACCCGGGAUGAUAAUGACAGUACCGGGAGAAUAAGCUCCGGCUAACUCCGUG